GCCUGGUUGGCUCAGUGGGUUAAGCAUCUGACUUUGGCUCGGGUCAUGAUCUCAGGGUCCUGGGAUCGAGCCCCAAAUCAGGCU
rnacentral:tRNA from 1 species